AGGAAAGGAUCUCCCUGAGUCAGCACUUGCAAUUUUCUCCUAAUGAGUGGAGUAUGUUAUUUACCCUUUUAUAACUGGAAAAGACUUUGUUUCCCUGAACCUUGACUUCAUGCUGGCUUUCCUGGAGGAGCUGAACCAUGCCUCAUUCUCUGUUAUUCACAGCAGUGAGACCCUCUUACUUCCAUUUGACAUAAACAAAGGGUUAAAAAAUUCUGAGACAUCUUACAACUGUUAGAAACCAUUUCAAAGAAAGCUUUUUGCCCUGAAUACAGCUUCUUGAAAAGUAAGCAUAAAAAGACAUUGCCAUUUUAGCAGCAUCUUUUGAACAGGACUCAAUCUGUGGUAUAAAUUGUAAAGUUCUGAGGCAUCUCUGAUUGUGACUACAGAUUUCUUCCCAGUGUUCUGGUACACCAAAACAUUCACAUUUUUUUCAGAACAUCAAGUGACGUCUCUAAGAAAUGGUGCUUUAUAAAAAAUGUUACUUCAGUCAAAGUGUGUUUUUAUGGAAAAUUUUCAAGUCCAACAAUGCAUCAUCUCAAGCAUGUCACUGACUGCAGUUUGGAUUUGAGGGGAAAGAGCUCACCCAAACUUUGAGGCAGCUUAUUGUAUUCCUUCCAUGUUUCCUGAGGACUGAAUACAUUUGACAACUGUUUAUCCUCAUUAAUUUAAUCAAAAACUUCUUCCUAGGAAAUUACCAGGGUAAAAACACUGACAAAAGCAACUAAGGCAAAAGUCUAUUAGCUUUGUUUCUUCAGGGAAACAUUUCAUACACAGAAAUUAUGUUCUCAAGACUGAGGAAAAAUCAUUAUAAGAAGAAUGUCAUUAUUACUGAAAAGAAUAUAAUGGCUGUGUGUAAGAUGGAGAAGGAUGGGAUCACUCAUUUGAAGCCUCUCAAUGCACUGGUGACUUUACCAUUUCAGCAAAAUGCCAAAAAAGAUGCAUGAUCUGAGCCCUGGUGUCUUCAUUAUUGCAGUGCAUUAUCCUGGCGUAUUCUCUACUAAAUGCCAUUGAGCAGAGCCAACAUUUUGGAGUAGAAUUCUUCCUCAAUUCUUCUUUUUAUUUUAACAUUUUCUUACUACUUGGUUCAUUCUUCCUCACCCUGAUCUUGCUUUGAAGUUCUUGUUUUUAGACCUCAUAUUUUGCUUUACUGUUUCUUUAUAGCCUUGUUAGCAUUAGUUAAGCAAUGCUCAUUGCCAUUUAAGCAACUCGGGGAAAACUUUAGGACUUGCAUCUGAUCAUCAGAUUGUCUUAAAAGUGAAAAUUCAGUACCAUUCAGGCCUUAUUUCAUUACUCUUAGGGAGUUUGCCUUGCUGUUAGAGGUAAAAAUAAAAUGAUUUAUGAUGACAAAUCAGGUGUGCAUCAUUCUCCUAGUUUGCAAAAGGGGCUACAUAUACAUUAUGUAAGUCAAAGAAGUGUGAAGAAUAUUAAUAACUCUGCCAAUCAAUGUUUCAUUUUAAGCCAUGUGUUACCUCUAAUCUUAAAGCAGAGUAGUAAUCCCCAGUUUUAAAAUACUAUUGCUCACCAAUCCAUUCCAAAGUGUCUUUCACUGUAUUAUUCCUAUUUUUUAAAUCAGGAGAAACUGAAGCAAAAGUAAUACUAACAGAGCCCAAUUCA